ensembl:misc_RNA Metazoa_SRP Metazoan signal recognition particle RNA
GCCAGGCGCGGUGGCUCACGCCUGUAAUCCCAGCACUUUGGGAGGCUGAGGUGGGUGGAUCACCUGAGGUCGGGAGUUCGAGACCAGCCUGACCAACAUGGAGAAACCCCAUCUCUA